CCACGCCGUAAACGAUGAGCACUAGGUGUCGGGAUCGCAAGAUUUCGGUGCCGCAGUUAACGCAUUAAGUGCUCCGCCUGGGGAGUACGUACGCAAGUAUAAAACUCAAAGGAAUUGACGGGGACCCGCACAAGCAGCGGAGCAUGUGGUUUAAUUCGAAGCAACGCGAAGAACCUUACCAGAGCUUGACAUCCUUCUGACAGGUCCUUAAUCGGACUAUUCUUCGGACAGAAGUGACAGGUGGUGCAUGGUUGU
rnacentral:rRNA from 1 species